rnacentral:lncRNA from 10 species
CUUGUACUAUAGCAUAGCCUGCCUUUGCUGGAGUGUGGUGAUUAGGCCUGGUGGAACUGCCAUCAAUAAACCAAGUGUGAUCACAGUGAGGAACAGGAAAGAAGGAAAUAGGGGGAAAUGGGGUGAAUGUCAGGUGGAUCAGAGAGAUGCAGUCAUGGGGGCCAGGUGUGGUAUCAGGAAUAAUGUGGGAGGCCGGAUUGAGGUCCAGGCCAGGAACAAUGGUAAUUGUAGGAGACUCAACAAAGAGUACAGCUGAAGGAGCUAGAGAUCAGAAAGUAUAUGUGUCAGGUGUGAGGAAGAAAAUAGAGUUUGGAAGUUAUGAGAACUGUAGAGAGUGAGUUGAGCAUAGUUUGUGAUUUAGAGGGCCUCUAAAAGUAUUAAGGCAGUGGCAGCCACUGCAUGCAGACAUGAGGGCUAGGCUAAAACAGUGAGGUCAAGUUUGGAUAAAAAGGCUACAGCGCACGGUCCUGGUUCUUGUGUAAGAAUUCCAACCGCACAGACCUGCACUUCGGCUGUGGGACAGGUGAAAUGGAAUUGUAAGGAGAGUUUAUAGGCUUCAAAGGCCUUGCUGUAGCAGGUGAGUGAUAACAGGCUUUAAUCCUUUUAAUGCGUGCUGCAGGAUGGGAUAUUGGCGUUGAGUGGAGUAAGGGUGAUUAGGUUUUAAUGAGAUGGUAAGGGGGUGCAUGAUCGGUUGCCAAGGAGGGAGUAGAGGUAUCCUAUACUUGUGGGUUAAGGUUGGGGGAUAUGAGAGGAGGAUGCAAAGGAGGCUUUGAACUGGGGAAAAGGGCGGCAAUGACGUGUGGCUGCAGUUCAGGAACAGUGAAGCAGAUAAUUUAGUUAAAAUGUCUUGGCCUAAUAAUGGAACUAGACAGGUGGGGAUAACUAAAAAAGAGUGCAUAAAAGAAUGUUGUCUAAGUUGGCACUAGAGUUGGGGAGUUUUAAGAUGUUUAGAAGCCUGGCCGUCAAUACCCACAACAGUUAUGGAGGCAAAGGAAACAGGCCCUUGAAAAGAAGGUAAUGUGGAGUGGGUAGCCUUCAUAUUGAUUAAGAAGGGGACAGACUUACCUUCUACUGUAAGAAUUACCUUAAAGCAUCUGUGAUGGUCCAGGAAGCUUCCAAGGCAAUUGGGCAGUGUCGGUCUUCAGCUGCUGAGCCAAGAAGAUCUGGGAAGGAGUCAGAAAGCCUUGGGCCAGAGUUCCAGGGGCACUGGAAGUGACUGCCAGAUAUCUAUUGAGUACUACUAAGGCCAGACACUAUUCUAAGUGCUAGGCACACAUCAGAAAGAAACAGAUAUUUCUGCUCACUAUGGUAGUUAUAAUUAAAACAAUUGAACUCAGAGGUACAGUAGUGAGAGGUGACAGCAUGCUGGCAGCCCUCACAGCCCUCGCUCGCUCUCAGUGCCUCCUCGGCCUCAGCGCCCACUCUGGCCACACUUGAGAAGCCCUUCAGCCUGCCGCUGCACUUUGGGAGCCCCUUUCUAGGCUGGCCGAGGCUGGAGCCAGCUCACUCAGCUUGCAGGGAGGGGUGGAGGGAGAGGCAUGGGCGGGAACUGGGGCUGCGUGCAGCGCUUGCAGGCCAGCGUGAGUUCCGGGUGGGCGUGGGCUUCGUGGGCCCUGCACUCAGAGCGGCCGGCCGGCUCCACCGGCCCAGGGCACUGAGGGGCUUAGCACCCGGGCCAGCAGCUGCGGAGGGUGUGUCGGGUCCCUCAGCAGUGCUGGCCCAGUGGUGCUGCACUCGAUUUCUUGCCAGGCCUUAGCUGCCUCCCUAUGGGGCAGGGCUCAGGACCUGCAGCCCCCCAUGCCUGAGCACUUCCCCUCCAUGCCAUGGGCUCCUGCACAGCCCGAGCCUCCCUGACAAGCACCGCCCCCUGCUCCAUGGUGCCUGGUCCCACUGACCACCCAAGGGCUGAGAAGUGCGGGCGCAAGGUGCGGGACUGGCAGGCAGCUCUACCUGCGGCCCUGGCGCGGGAUCCACUGGGUGAAGCCAGCUGGGCUCCUGAGUCUAGUGGGGACUUGGAGAACCUUUAUGUCUAGCUAAGGGAUUGUAAAUACGCCAAUCAGCACUCUGUGUCUAGCUCAAGGUUUGUAAAUGUACCAAUCUGCACUCUGUGUCUAGCUGAUCUGGUGGGGGCUUGGAGAACCUUUAUGUCUAGCUAAGGGAUUGUGAAUACACCAGUCGGCACUCUGUAUCUAGCUCAAGGUUUGUAACUGCACCAAUCAACACUCUGUGUCUAGCUCAGGGUUUGUAAAUACACCAAUCAGCAUUCUGUAGCUAGCUAAUCUAGUGGGGACUUGGAGAACUUUCGUGUCUAGCUCAGGGAUUGUAAAUGCACCAAUCAGCACCCUGUCAAAAUGGACCAAUCAGCUUUUUGUAAAACAGACCAAUCAGCUCUCUGUAAAAUGGACCAAUCAGCAGGAUGUGGGUGGGGCCAGAUAAGAGAAAAAAAGCAGGCUGCCCCAGCCAGCAGUGGCAACCCUCUGGAGUCCCCUUCCACAUUGUGGAAGCUUUGUUCUUUUGCUCUUUGCAAUAAAUCUUGCUACUGCUCAUUCUUUGGGUCCACACUGCCUUUAUGAGCUGUAACACUCACCGUGAACGUCUGCAGCUUCACUCCUGAAGCCAUCGAGACCACGAACCCACUGGGAGGAAAAAACAACUCCAGACACACCGCCUUAAGAACUGUAACACUCACCACGAAGGUCUGCAGCUUCACUCCUGAGCCAGCGAGACCACAAUCCCACCAGAAGGAAGAAAGUCCAAACACAUCCGAACAUCAGAAGGAACAAACUCCAGACACGCUGCCUUUAAGAACUGUAACACUCACCGCGAGGGUCAGCGGCUUCAUUCUUGAAGUCAGUGAGACCAAGAACCCACCAAUUCCGGACGCAGUAGGAUGAUGGUUAUCAGAGGGUAGGAAGGGUAGCAGUGGUGGGAGGUAGAGAUGGUUAAUGAGUAUAAAAAUAUAGUUAUAUACAAGGAAUAAGAUUUAGUAUUUGAUACUAGAUCUAGUUUUUGCUACUACAACAAUGUGAUUAUGAAGGAAGAGAGAGACCUUCUCAUGUUGUUUUAUACUCAGUACCUGUUUUAAGAAGAAACAACAAAGAAGUAAAGCCAAAGACAGGCAGCCUGGCGCCAGGCCUGAAACCAGGCCUGGGCCUGCCUGGCCUAAAUCCAGUAGUUAAAAAUCAACUCAUAACUUAGAAACCGAUGUUAUUCAUAGAUUCCAGACACUGUAUAGAAGAACAUUGUGAAACUCCUUGCCCUGUUCUGUUUCUCUCUGACCACUGGUGCACGCAGCCCCUGUCACGUACUGCCUGCUUGCUCAAAUCAAUCAUGAUCCUUUCCUAUGAAAUCUUUAGUGUUGUGAGCCCUUAAAAGGGACAGAAAUUGUGCACUCGGAGAGCUCGGAUUUUAAGGCAGUAGCUUGCCAAUGCUCCCAGCUGAAUAAAGCCCUUCCUUCUACAACUCGGUGUCUGAGAGGUUUUGUCUGCAGCUCGUCCUGCUACAAUUACAGUCCACAAAAAUGUAUCGUACAUUGCAAAAUAAAUAAGACUAUAAUCUGAAUGUUUAUAACAAAAAAAAUAAAUGCUUGAGGUACUAGAUACCCUAUUUACUCUGAUGUGACUAUUAU